rnacentral:rRNA from 1 species
UAAGGAGGGUGCGAGCGUUAAUCGGAAUUACUGGGCGUAAAGCGCACGCAGGCGGUUGGAUAAGUUAGAUGUGAAGGCCCCGGGCUCAACCUGGGAAUUGCAUUUAAAACUGUCCGGCUAGAGUCUUGUAGAGGGGGGUAGAAUUCCAGGUGUAGCGGUGAAAUGCGUAGAGAUCUGGAGGAAUACCGGUGGCGAAGGCGGCCCCCUGGACAAAGACUGACGCUCAGGUGCGAAAGCGUGGGGAGCAAACAGG